rnacentral:misc_RNA from 1 species
AACGCACCUUGCACCCUUUGGUAUUCCGAAGGGUAUGCCUGUUUGAGUGUCAUUAAAUUCUCAACUUCAAAAGACUUUACUGUCCUUUGAAGCUUGGACUAAUGGAGGUUUUUGCCGGCGUUAUUGUCAGCUCCUCUUAAAUGCAUUAGCAGAACUUUAUUAACAAAGACUAGGCUUUGGUUUGAUAAUACUAUCUAUGCUGUUGCUGUGACUUUGAAUGCUCUGCUUAUAAUUGUCUUCGGACUGUCUUUUUACAAGGCAUAUAUUUUAAGCUUGACCUCAAAUCAGGUAGGACUACCCGCUGAACUUAA